UACGGGGGGGGCGAGCGUUGUUCGGAAUUACUGGGCGUAAAGGGUUUGUAGGUGGUCUGCUAAGUCAGACGUGAAAUCCCUCAGCUUAACUGGGGAACUGCGUCUGAUACUGGCGGACUUGAGGACAGGAGAGGAACGCGGAAUUCCAGGUGUAGCGGUGAAAUGCGUAGAUAUCUGGAGGAACACCGGUGGCGAAGGCGGCGUUCUGGACUGUUUCUGACACUGAAAAACGAAAGCCAGGGGAGCAAACGGGAUUAGAAACCCAUU
rnacentral:rRNA from 1 species